rnacentral:lncRNA from 1 species
ACUUGAUAUUUGGAUGAGAUAUACUUAAUGUCAAGCAGUUUCCUUGCAACUCGUUUGUGAACAAAAUGAAAAUCAACUUUUAUGCGCUUUUUUUUUGACAAUUAACUUUUAUGCGCUUAGUGAGGGUAUGAAAGAUUGUAUUAGAAUAAAGAUACUUAGUCAAAAAUAGGGUUUUCUUAUUUUUUUUUCUCCAAGUGAUGCAUCUUCGUGCUCAUGAGGAACCUGGUCAAGCUAUUUUGCUAGAGAUGUUUUUCAGGGGUCUUAGCACGCAUCUAUCCACUCAAGCUAACUCCAAACACAUAGAAUCACAAGAUCCAACAAAGCGGUCAAGAGAGGGGAAAAGAGCUGAGAAAAACCAAAUCAGACCAAAACUCGAAGUCGAUCUUGACACAGACAUGAUUUCUUUAUUGCCAAGAUUAAAAAGGUCUAUUCUUACACAUAGACAAUGGUUUCAUUCACUCAUUUGUGAGAUCUCUCAUCACUCAGUAC